rnacentral:rRNA from 1 species
CCUGGCGGCCGUAGCGCGGUGGUCCCACCUGACCCCAUGCCGAACUCAGAAGUGAAACGCCGUAGCGCCGAUGGUAGUGUGGGGUCUCCCCAUGUGAGAG